CCUACGGUGUGCUGCAGUGGGGAAUAUUGGACAAUGGGCGAAAGCCUGAUCCAGCCAUGCCGCGUGUGUGAAGAAGGCCUUCGGGUUGUAAAGCACUUUCAGUGGGGAAGAAAGCCUUGGGGCUAAUACCCUCGAGGAAGGACAUCACCCACAGAAGAAGCACCGGCUAACUCCGUGCCAGCAGCCGCGGUAAUACGGAGGGUGCGAGCGUUAAUCGGAAUUACUGGGCGUAAAGCGCGCGUAGGCGGUCUGAUAAGCCGGUUGUGAAAGCCCCGGGCUCAACCUGGGAACGGCAUCCGGAACUGUCAGGCUAGAGUGCAGGAGAGGAAGGUAGAAUUCCCGGUGUAGCGGUGAAAUGCGUAGAGAUCGGGAGGAAUACCAGUGGCGAAGGCGGCCUUCUGGACUGACACUGACGCUGAGGUGCGAAAGCGUGGGUAGCAAACAGGAUUAGAUACCCGGGUAGU
rnacentral:rRNA from 1 species